CAAAGGCUUGGUCCUGACUUUAUCAUCAGCUUCAGCCGAACUUACACAUGCAAGUAUCCGCACCCCUGUGAGAAUGCCCUCAGUUCCCUGCCUGGGAACAAGGAGCUGGUAUCAGGCACAAUUUUAGCCCAUGACACCUUGUUUAGCCACACCCUUAAGGGAACUCAGCAGUGAUAGAUAUUAAGCCAUAAGUGAAAACUUGACUUAGUAAAAGCUAAGAGGGCCGGUAAAACUCGUGCCAGCCACCGCGGUUAUACGAGAGGCCCAAGUUGAUUAUUCACGGCGUAAAGAGUGGUUAGGGAACAAAUAGUACUAAAGCCGAAUGUUUUCAAAGCUGUUAUACGCAUCCGAAAACAAGAAGUUCAAUCACGAAAGUAGCUUUACUAAACCCUGAACCCACGAAAGCUAGGGAACAAACUGGGAUUAGAGACCCCACUAUGCCUAGCCGUAAACAUUGAUAGACCAAUACAACCCCUAUCCGCCCGGGAACUACGAGCACCAGCUUAAAACCCAAAGGACUUGGCGGUGCUUUAGAUCCUACUAGAGGAGCCUGUUCUAGAACCGAUAACCCCCGUUCAACCUCACCUUUCCUUGUUUUUCCCGCCUAUAUACCGCCGUCGUCAGCCCACCCUAUGAAGGUUUAAAAGUAGGCUAAAUUGGCAUAGCCCAGCACGUCAGGCCGAGGUGUAGCGUAUGGAAAGGGAAGAAAUGGGCUACAUUCCCUAAUUUAGGGCACACGAAUGAUAUGCUGAAACGCACAUCUUGAAGGAGGAUUUAGCAGUAAGUAGGAAGUAGAGCGUCCUGCUGAAAUUGGCUCUGAAGCGCGCACAUACCGCCCGUCACUCUCCCCGAAAAAUUUCACCCUAAUUAUAUAAAACCUUAGAGCAAAAGAGGGGAGGCAAGUCGUAACAUGGUAAGUGUACCGGAAGGUGCACUUGGAUCAAUAAU
rnacentral:ncRNA from 1 species